AAAUGCCACCUGUGAAGAGCCCGUGGGCAUUGGUUGAGAUGAUUUGUCCAUGGCACUGUUUGAACUACAACUUUGUCAGAGGUCUGUGGAGAGGCAUGCAUGAGCCUAUGGAAGUCAGAAGAGGCUAUUGGAUCCUAUACAACUGGAGUUCCAGUUGAGAGGUCUGACUCUCUGAUGAUCACAGGAACAGAUCUAGAUCCAGCUUGCUAACCUCAUCCUUGCACGACUGAGUCAUCUUUAUCCAACUUCAGACAAACCUCUGCCCUGCUGUGUCCCAAUGUCAGCCAUAGACUUCUUUUGCCUCUGCUGUCUUGGGGGUCACAGAUGAAAAUGUCAGCAUCUCCGAGCUGAGCUAG
ensembl:antisense Gm15657 predicted gene 15657